CCUACGGGAGGCAGCAGUGAGGAAUAUUGGUCAAUGGGCGUAAGCCUGAACCAGCCAAGUCGCGUGAGGGAUGAAGGUUCUAUGGAUCGUAAACCUCUUUUAUAAGGGAAUAAAGUGUGGGACGUGUCCUGUUUUGUAUGUACCUUAUGAAUAAGGAUCGGCUAACUCCGUGCCAGCAGCCGCGGUAAUACGGAGGAUCCGAGCGUUUUCCGGAUUUAUUGGGUUUAAAGGGUGCGUAGGCGGCCUUUUAAGUCCGCGGUGAAAGUCUGUGGCUCAACCAUAGAAUUGCCGUUGAAACUGGGAGGCUUGAGUAUGUUUGAGGCAGGCGGAAUGCGUGGUGUAGCGGUGAAAUGCUUAGAUAUCACGCAGAACCCCGAUUGCGAAGGCAGCCUGCCAAGCCAUGACUGACGCUGAUGCACGAAAGCGUGGGGAUCAAACAGGAUUAGAUACCCGGGUAGUC
rnacentral:rRNA from 1 species